rnacentral:rRNA from 1 species
CCAGGCCCAUACUACCUGCAGUUCAGACUAAUCCAUCUGAAACUAAGCAUGUCUGGGCCUGACCAGUAUGUGGAUGGGAGACCAACUAAGAAAGCUGGGUUGCUGCUGGA